AUAUUUGUACCAGAAUAGGGUGUCUUUCAUAGAGACUUAAAAGGGAAGUUUGGUGAAAUACCAACGCGGUCCCGCCACUGUAAAUGGUUGUUGUCUGCAUAAAUCCACUGUGUUCACGCAUGGGAAGGAACAGACAAUGAUAGCCAUGAGCCAGGAGACCUGCCUCAUUCUGAUACGCCAU
rnacentral:ncRNA from 2 species